rnacentral:snRNA from 1 species
AUGCUCACUUCGGCAACACAGAUGCUAAAAUUAGAAUGAUACAGAGGAGAUUAGGACCGCUCCUGAACAAAGAUGACACACAAAUUCGUGAAGCAGUUCAUAUUUUU